CAUUUCCCAUCAGUAGAACCCUAUGAGGAGGAAAGGCCCACCUGGGGAAAUUCUUAUUUCUCCACAACUUCCAGCACAGAAGCUCUUGAGAUCCACACUUGAGAUCCAGGCCCUGUCUAUGAAUGGGCCUACCUUCCCUCUCUGCUGUUCUCUCAAGGAUCCGGCUUCCUGACCCUCUCCUGAAGAUCCGGGCGUGCGCCACUUGAUGAAUAAUCCCUGUGGCGUCUGGUCUCCCAUUGGGUGACAAGACUCUCCAAUACCUCCCUGCUUUAAACUACGGUGAAAGUUCAGAAGGAGAUGACAAAUGGUUGGAGGAACAUUGGUCUGUUGUGGUGCAGGACAACUCUUCAGGGAAGGCGUGGCAGCUCCGUCUUGACACAGCCCUGCGAGCUGGACCAGCCCGCUGAAGUCCCCGAAGUUGCCUGAAGGCUAGCUGAGAGGAGAACCCUUUGCCUCAUGCAUUUCCAGCAAUCUGGUUAUGAAUCAGCCGCACAACAUCAACUGAUGCUUGGAAAAAAUGCUAUGCUCCUCAGCUGCGUCUACCCCC